rnacentral:rRNA from 1 species
AACGCGAAGAACCUUACCAAGUCUUGACAUCCCUCUGAAUAGGAAGUAAUGUUCCUAGGCCUUCGGGACAGAGGAGACAGGUGGUGCAUGGUUGUCGUCAGCUCGUGUCGUGAGAUGUUGGGUUAAGUCCCGCAACGAGCGCAACCCUUAUCUUUAGUAGCCAGCAGUUCGGCUGGGCACUCUAGAGAGACUGCCAGGGAUAACCUGGAGGAAGGCGGGGAUGACGUCAAAUCAUCAUGCCCCUUAUGACUUGGGCUACACACGUGCUACAAUGGCGUAAACAAAGGGAAGCGAUCACGUGAGUGUCAGCAAAUCCCAAAAAUAACGUCUCAGUUCGGAUUGUAGUCUGCAACUCGACUACAUGAAGCUGGAAUCGCUAGUAAUCGCGAAUCAGAAUGUCGCGGUGAAUACGUUCCCGGGUCUUGUACACACCG